rnacentral:rRNA from 1 species
GUAUAAGAGACAGCAGUAGCCGCGGUAAUACAGAGGGUGCGAGCGUUAAUCGGAUUUACUGGGCGUAAAGCGUGCGUAGGCGGCUUUUUAAGUCGGAUGUGAAAUCCCUGAGCUUAACUUAGGAAUUGCAUUCGAUACUGGGAAGCUAGAGUAUGGGAGAGGAUGGUAGAAUUCCAGGUGUAGCGGUGAAAUGCGUAGAGAUCUGGAGGAAUACCGAUGGCGAAGGCAGCCAUCUGGCCUAAUACUGACGCUGAGGUACGAAAGCAUGGGGAGCAAACAGGAUUAGAGACCCCUGUAGUCCCUGUCUCUUAUAC